ACCUCAUUUCAGUGUGCUUCAGCUGCGCCUAACCGUGCCCACGAACGGGCAUCCCCCGGAUGGCACCCCGCUGAACGUGGCACCGCCCCCGUGAGGUGUGGGGAAGCGACCCUGGGCUGCUGAGGCACAGCAGCGUCUCUGCGAGCAGACCGGGGCGGCUGGCUGGGACAUCUGUUUCUCCUCAACCUGUAACACAAGGAGGAGGUUGAACUGGAGCCACUGCCGCCCUGUGCCUGCGCCCCGCUUCCUUUGCUCCUGGACAUUUCUUGCUCGACUGCUGGGGUCUCUUCACCUCUCUUCAUCACAACACCGAGAGAGGAGGAGGAGGAAGGGAGAGAAAGGGAAAACUAAAAACCCUGAAGGAUGGUUCUCAAAAAUUCUAGCGGAACCAGGGGGAAUUCCUCGGAGAGCGGGAGCCAGCCGGCGGAGAUGGCCGAGCCCGGAGGUGUUUGAUGAGCAGAUUGGGUCUUUAUCUCGGCACUGGAGAGCACGCAGGCUUGCAGAGAGACAGGGCAGCUUCGGAGUGUUUCUGUUGUUUGUUUGUUUUCUUCUGCUGAAAUCUGGCUGCCUUUUUACUGCGCUGUAAAGAAUUUGUAUGGGCUGAAUAUGUUUCUGGUUUAUAUAUAGUUUUUCAUAUCAUCAUAUUAAACAUAUUGAGAGUUAAGGAGAAACUAUUUUAAAAUAAUCCACUCUAUUUUAUUUGGUAUGUUUACCAGCAGCACGCUCUAUAAAAAUACAUAUUCAUGCCAGAUUCUUUUGUUAUCCCUCCCAGGUCAGACCGAACACUAGGAACACAAACAAUUUUUCUUUUGCUAUCCCAGUGCCCGCUCCUAGGGAUUUAUCUAGUUACUGUUGGUGAGAUGACCAUUCCUGCAAUAUUUCCCUCUGUGAUUUAAUUAAAUACGCCAUGAAUUAAAGCUUGCUGAUAAGAUUUUAUUUUUAAGCAUUUUUUACAUUUUUAUUCUGACAAUAGUCCUGACUUUCUGUAUGUAUCAAUUUGAUAGUAAUCCUUUUCUGAGGAUAGCUAUGCAGAGUGUUUUAGAACAGCCUCUCUCAUCUGCAUAUUUUCCUUAUUUUAUUUUAUUUAUUUUAGCUUAUUAUUUUAUUUUAUUCUAUUCAUAUUAUGCAAAAUGAAUGAACAACAAAAUUAUACAAUUAUAGAAUAACGUAACUUAAUGCCAAAAGAUGGAUUAAAACAGUUUAUAUGAAUGAUCUGAUCUGACAUCAGUGCCUUGUUAUUUAGUGCAAACCUUGAUUUUCAACUGUUUCGCUUCACUCCUGACAUGAGCAUCGUGCAGUUUAAACAUCUGUCCAGCCGUUAAAGACCCUAUUGAUGCUUGGUUAUUGGAUUUCUAAUUUUCAGGUUUCGUCAGGGGGUUUAAGAGACUGUAUGAGUGUUUAUAAUUUCUAAUGAGUUUAAUCUGUAAUUUGUGCCUAUUACCUGUGACUGUCAAAUCGCUUUCCCAGUAUUCGGUCUGUAAAAAUUCAAAAUAAAGAACUAUGGGCUUCUAAAUAACCUAAAAUAUUUGUCAUAUCUUUUAUGUACAAAUAUAUGUGCGGUAAACAGAACUAUACAUUCUUAUUCUGUUUGAAGAUCAAGAAUGAUUUUAAUCCUGCAUAUCUACUGCAAUCACAAUAUAUUAUCUAAAUCCAAGUUUCUUUGAGGACUUCUUGGAUAUAUGUCACUAUUUCAAUUGAGAUAAAAUAGUGUAUGUUUUAGGCCACUGCAAGGCUGAUUAUUGCUGCGUGAUUAGUAUUUGAUCAAAUUCCAUCCUUUUUUUUUUUUUUUUUUCCCUGAGACAAUUCAGCUCCUCCACAUCUAGGGGAGAAUUCACCUCAUUCUGUCUGACAAGUGUUCUGUUGUUGAGCAGUCGAUCACAUCUAUGUAAACAUACAUCUGCUUGCUGUAUGAGUUUUGGAAGCAGAACAGUUUUAAUUUAUCAUAAACUUCAUAUAACUCAUUAGCUUUCAUC
rnacentral:lncRNA from 1 species